AAAAAAAAAAAAAAAAAAAAAAAAAAAAAAAAAGGAAAACGCAUCAGGUGAGGCACCGUUCAGCCUAUGCACCUCGCACCCGUCAAGACUGACUGGCUAUUCAUAUUAAUAAUAAAUAUAUAUUAUUCUACAACAUAUUAUCUACUGUAAUAUAAAUAGUAAGGACUGCUUGCUGCGCACCGCGGGUCGGGUGCUUGGGCUGGCCGGGCGUGGUUUACGAAAAGAAAACCAAUUUCUUUUUGGAACACAAGUUUCCAAGCAACGCUGCUUUCCGUAAGCUUUCUCUAGAAUUUUUAGCGUAGCCUCUUUUUAGAUUAGAUUCAGAACUAGUAGUCGUAGGCUGAUGUAGAAAGAUGAGAAUAAAAAGGAAAAAAAUGUAGGGUGUUUUUAAGUAACGAAAUAAAAAAAAAAUAAUGUAAUAUUAGUCGAACGUCGGCUUAAGCGAAAAAAAAAAAAAAAAAAAUAAGAACAGCGAGUCUGAGUUGAUUUUGAUGAUGCCCUGAUAAUAUGAUGUGCAUCAUCGUACUUCGACUUGUACAGUCCUUAGAUUUAUCGAGGUUUUAAGUCAUUGUUUUACAAUUGUUAAGCGAGAUAGUUUUUUUUAGCUAUAACGAGACAAACAUUUUUCCAUUUAUCCCUGUGCUCCAUUUUUUUUUUAACUUCGACUCUCCUGGUAUUUGUUUUGAUUUGUUUACUAUAUCCUUUCCACUCCUCGUUUUUAUUUUAGCUCCUAUCGUUUUAUUCUUCGUUGCACAUGAAUUCCUUUUUGUGACAUAAGACAGAAUGAGUAAAUAACAUAUGUAAUUAUAAAAAAAAAAACAUCUGCUUAAUUUUGUUUAUUUCUUCUCUCCAGAAUACAAUUAUUAUGCGGUGUGCGACCAAUAAGAAUAUAAUGAAAAUAAAAAUUUCAUAAAUUUCAGAAAAAAAAGAGGAAAUGAAAAGGAUAUAGAGGGAGAGAAAGAAAAAAAACAAAAUGAUGUUGAGGCAUUAAGUUCGCAUCUAUAAACAAGAGUUAAGAAGGAAGGGAAAAAAAUAAAAAAAAUAAAAAAUGAACACACAUUAGGUUCUCGGAUACUUUUAAGAUGGCGAGGCAUAGCACGUAAUAAAAUUUUUAGAUUAAGGCAAGUGUGUCAUAGUUAGUUAAGAAAUAGGGACUCUUAGAAGUCGAUAGGUGCUGUAAUACAAAUGAUGAUAAAAAAGAAGUAACAACAACAACAACAAAGUUUAACAACGGUCAGAAUUAGAUUUUUCAUGAAACUCAAAUAAGAACAGGGCAUAUGCCACUAAAAGUGCCCUUAGUUUAUUUUGGAUCGUUUAAAAACGCUAGUCUUUGUGUGAGAUAAUGUGGGGGUUAUAGAUAGGGUCUUCUAAAAAAGAAAAAAAAAACACGAAAAAAAGAAAAGAAAAAUGAAAAAAUGUAAGCAGAAAACAAAAAGAUAGAAAGACAGAGAACGCGAGAGACAACGUGAGAUAUAAGUAGUGAACACAAAAGAAAAAAAUGUGAGAUAGAGAGAGAGAGAGAGAGAGAGAGAAAGUGCGAAACGAAUGUGUGGUGUGUAGGUUGUAUGCAUAAUUUAUAAUGCGUACUUUAAAAAAACCAUCUGCCUAUGACACGACACAGACUGCAGAAAUACACUGUUACUGUAAACUGCACACUGCGUGUGCACGCUCUAAACGUCACACACUUCUUACACUUUGUAUGUAGAGCGUGCACCGAACAGUUUUUAGAGUUACUUACAAGUAUGGUUUGGUAUAUUCAAAGUGAAAGAAUCAAAUUCUUAAUUAUUAUCAUCCCUUAUUUUUGAUCAAUAAACGAUCUGUUUUGGGGAUUUAUUCGAAUCAUUUUCUUUUCCUUUCCUAAGUUUUUUUUAAUAGCAGGACAAUUGUGAAUAGUCUUCAAUAAAGAGUGAAUCCCCAAAUUUUAUAAAUAUUAUUUUUCUUCUAUCCUUUUUUCAUUAUAUUUCUCUUUCAUUGGAUUUUUAAUAGAAAUAUACACAUUAAUUUUCGUUUUUUUUCCUUUGUGUUGAAGCGUGAACAUUUUUUCGAACGAAUAAACGAAAUGUAAAGUCUGUAAAAUAAACUUACUCUCGUACAAAA